rnacentral:rRNA from 1 species
AACCCGUGUGGGGCAGCCGUAGCGAAAGCGAGUCUGAAUAGGGCGUGUGAGUGGCGUGAUCUAGACCCGAAGCGAAGUGAUCUACCCAUGGCCAGGUUGAAGCGACGGUAAGACGUCGUGGAGGACCGAACCCACUUCAGUUGAAAAUGGAGGGGAUGAGCUGUGGGUAGGGGUGAAAGGCCAAUCAAACUUCGUGAUAGCUGGUUCUCCCCGAAAUGCAUUUAGGUGCAGCGUUGCGUGUUUCUUGCUGGAGGUAGAGCUACUGGAUGGCUAAUGGGCCCUACAAGGUUACUGACGUCAGCCAAACUCCGAAUGCCGGUAAGUGAGAGCGCAGCAGUGAGACUGUGGGGGAUAAGCUUCAUAGUCGAGAGGGAAACAGCCCAGACCACCAACUAAGGCCCCUAAGCGUGUGCUAAGUGGGAAAGGAUGUGGAGUUGCCCAGACAACCAGGAGGUUGGCUUAGAAGCAGCCACCCUUAAAAGAGUGCGUAAUAGCUCACUGGUCAAGUGAUUCCGCGCCGACAAUGUAGCGGGGCUCAAGUACACCGCCGAAGUUGUGGCAUUCACAUUUUAGCUAAGCCCUUGUGGUUCAGGCGUGUGGAUGGGUAGGGGAGCGUCGUGUGGGCGGUGAAGUCGCGGUGUAAACCAGCGGUGGAGCCUACACGAGUGAGAAUGCAGGCAUGAGUAGCGAAAGACGGGUGAGAAACCCGUCCGCCGAAUGAUCAAGGGUUCCAGGGUCAAGCUAAUCUGCCCUGGGUAAGUCGGGACCUAAGGCGAGGCCGACAGGCGUAGUCGAUGGACAACGGGUUGAUAUUCCCGUACCGGCGAAAAACCGCCCAUGCUGAGCGGGGGAUACUAACUGCCCGAAGCCUGCCCGAGCGCCCUUGUGGUGUGAGGGUUUUGGUGGAGCGCAGGACCUGAUCCCGGGAGGCAAGCGUAUUAACAGGUGUGACGCAGGAAGGUAGCCGAGCCGGGCGAUGGUUGUCCCGGUCUAAGGAUGUAGGGCGAGUGGUAGGCAAAUCCGCCACUCAUGGUGCCUGAGAUCUGAUGGGACCCCCGUUUGGGGGGAUUUGGUGAUCCUAUGCUGCCGAGAAAAGCAUCGACGCGAGGUUUUAGCCGCCCGUACCCCAAACCGACACAGGUGAUCAGGUAGAGAAUACCAAGGCGAUCGAGAGAAUUAUGGUUAAGGAACUCGGCAAAAUGCCCCCGUAACUUCGGGAGAAGGGGGGCCCCAACCUUGAUACACCCUUUGCGGUGUGGAGGGGAUCGGGGCCGCAGAGACCAGGGGGAAGCGACUGUUUACUAAAAACACAGGUCCGUGCGAAGUCGCAAGACGAUGUAUACGGACUGACUCCUGCCCGGUGCUGGAAGGUUAAGAGGACCGGUUAGCCGCAAGGCGAAGCUGAGAAUUUAAGCCCCAGUAAACGGCGGUGGUAACUAUAACCAUCCUAAGGUAGCGAAAUUCCUUGUCGGGUAAGUUCCGACCUGCACGAAUGGAGUAACGACUUCCCCGCUGUCUCAACCAUAAACUCGGCGAAAUUGCAGUACGAGUAAAGAUGCUCGUUACGCGCAGCAGGACGGAAAGACCCCGAGACCUUUACUAUAGUUUGGUAUUGGUGUUCGGAGUGGCUU